rnacentral:rRNA from 1 species
UACGUAGGGGGCAAGCGUUGUCCGGAUUUAUUGGGCGUAAAAGGCUUGUAGGUGGCCACGCCAAGUCGGAUGUGAAAUCUCCCGGCUCAACUGGGAGGGGUCAUUCGAUACUGGCGGGCUCGAGGCCGGUAGGGGGAAGUGGAAUUCCUGGUGUAGCGGUGGAAUGCGCAGAUAUCAGGAGGAACACCGGUGGCGAAGGCGGGUCUCUGGGCAGUAACUGACGCUGAGGAGCGAAAGCGUGGGGAGCGAACAGG